rnacentral:lncRNA from 1 species
UUAGAGUAAUAGAUUUUUGGGACUUUGCUCUGGAAAGGGGAAAAGCAUAUUCUUCUCUCUAACUUGGUUUCUAGAAUUUAGAGUAUUCAAUCAAAAUUUUAAGAUAAAUUUUUAAAAUGGAAUUUUAACAAAAAGAUUAUGAUACUGUUCACUUUAACGAAAAAUCAUAUUUUUACACUAAAAAAUCAAUCAUGAUACUAUUCACUUUACCCUUUAUUUUGUCCUUAUCGUUAAAACUCAAAGUUUUCAAGCCCUUUUCAUUAGUUUUCAUUUUUUUAAAUCCUUAAAAAUUCGGGUAUAUUUAAUUAGGAUUUCAAAAAAAUUUAUAACAUUCUAGAUGUAUUCAAUUAGGAUUUUAUUUUAAAGAAUUUUAAAAAGUUGAGGAAUUUGUCACUCAGUAUCACGGUCUGAUGUAUUCUUCUUCGCUUAGAAGUGAGAGGUCUUAUGUUCGAAUCUCGUGGAUGGCGAAUCCGAUAACAAAUUAGACUGCCCAUUGUGUGACUUAGCCGAACUCCUCCUUCCCCUAGUGUAAAAAUAUCGAUGUAUUAGGAAAAAAAAUUGAGGAAUUUGAGGAAAUUAGUGAGAUUUCGUAAUGCAAUUUAAGCAUUCACAAAUUUCACUUCUCUCGUUGAUAUUUUGAAGGAAUUGAAUCAAAAAAUUUCAUGAAAUCUCUACAAAUCAAUUAAUCCCCUUUAAACUACAUGGAUUUAUAAAUUCAUUAAAAUCUUUCAAAAUCUCAAUUGAAUACACCAUCUAAAACUCUUCAAUCUUUUGAUGUGAUUCCAGAUUAGUCUCAAUUUUUUUAAAUAUUCCGAAAGAGUAACUGACACACCCCGACCGAGAUCGAGGCAUACUGGCCAUCACGUGAGGGUGACGUAGCCAUGUGCACAGUGCAGAAGCAAUAAGGAUAAGAAAUAUACGAAUAAAUAAAAACCGAAAGCUACUAGUGUAUACUAAUAAGCAGAAAAUGCUAGAGUGAGAUACAAAAGUAAAUACUCCUAAUCAGAGCAUAGAAAGUCUAGGUGUAGUCUACUAGGACGAGUACUAGUUAUACAGUACCAGAAGAUGUCCUACUAAUUUUUAUUUUGUCAGAACCGCCGAGAUCCUCAAUGCCACCAACAGCAAGUCUACCUAAAACCUGGAGGGACGCAAAACAGAAAAUGUGAGUGGGCAAAAACAAAUGCUUUGAGAACACAUUUAACUUUCAAAAGCGCUAACCCCUCGCCGUAAAACAUGUAUACUUUUUCCUAGAAAUAAAAUAUUAACAUAUACAUAUAUAUAUAUAUAUAUAUUUAUUUAUAUCCAUUCAAAUCAUGUUACACAUAAUCAUAAGUAUGUCAUGCCAAGAUAGAAACAGGAUAAGUAACUCAGGUGAAAAUAAAUUCAUGGGAAAUAACACAUUAGCAGGAACCUGAUGUGAAAUUUAUCUUAACACACAAAUUUAACCCUCUUUUGACAAUUGUAGUACAAGUAUAAGUAAGAAUCGUUCUGAACCAGGGAUUAGGAGGGUUUGCUAAUAACGUCUAAACUGACUCAAAAACAUAAAACUAAACUUAAAAAUAUUUAACAAGACUCACAAGACUCAAAGCAAACUUAAAAUACUCAUAACAGCUUAAAACAACUAAAUAAACUUAAACUAGACACUAGGAAUGACUUUGGAUGAAAAUUGACUUUUACUUGAAUAAAAACAUUUAAAAACACAAAUUAAAACAGAUUAUAACUAAUUAGACACACUAAAGUAAAGGGGAAUUGAGUUUUGGACGAAGUUGAAACAAACAAACAAGUAUGAAAAACUAGACAGAUUGUAAAACAAAUUUGAGAAAUAAGAUGAUGGAUGGGAUAGCUAGAGAUUUUUUCUCCACACAUGAUAUGUAUGCAAACAACUCGAUUUCCAGGUACUACUUCAUUGAAUUAUGAAUGACAAUGCCCUAAAUUAACUGUGACAUCACUAGUUAACUCUCAGAUUUUCCUUGUUUUAUUGGAUUGGAUGACAUCAUUUGACAACCCAAAACAUUCUUCAAAAGUUCCCUACAUGACAUCAUAAUAGAGAUACUAUCAAUGAUCAUUAUGUUUAAUGAAAAUCAUAAGCAUUGACAAAGCACUUGCAACUAUGACAUCAUGUCACUCAUGCUAGGAAUUGAACUUAACGCGAUCGUUUAUAAGUAACCUUCACUACAUGUGAAUAUAAGUUUGUAACGAUUAUGUGAAACUUCCUUAUAUUCUAGCAACGGAUUUAUGCAUGCCAAUUAAGUGUCGACCCUUAAUUAACAAAUACAAAUAAGUUAUCAAUCAAAUAGUUAAGCCAAUUGCAUUCACGAUUCAAAAGUUCAUAACUGGAAUUUAUCAAAUUAUAUUGCACACAUAAUCAUGGCUUUGAAAUCACCCCUAACCAAGAGGGGUUUAGCCACUCAUAUUUACAACAAAACGAAAGGAAAUGAAUUUAAACAUUAGAAACAAAAGAAAGAAAACACCUAAACGCUCCAACGAUCCAAAGUUGGACAACAAGCACAUCCAAGCACUUUCCUUCCCUUCCUUUGCUACGGCACAAGGUGUUGGUGAGUGUUUGAAGGUUUGUUUGUAUGGAGGAAUUGAUGUGAAGAUGAAUGGAUGUGUUUGGAUGAAGGUUGUGUUGAAAUGGGAGUGAAUGCUCUAACCAAGUAUGAACUAAAUUUAUGUUACACACACUUCCUUUUAUAGAGGAAGUGCAUGGCAAUAGAGGGGAACAUGGAGUGGUGUAGCAAUUGAGUGCAAUGAUUCAAUGUAAUGAUGCAUGAAUCUGAAAUGAUGGAGGGAACAAGGAAUGGUGUAGCAAUUGAGUGCAAUGAUUCAAUGUAAUGAUGCAUAAAAUCUGAAAUGAUGGAGGGGACAAGGGCGAUUAUGCAUGGCAUGGGUGGAAAAGUAAGUAAGUGGUGAAUCAAUGAGUGCAAUGAGGUGAAAUGAUAUUGUGCACAUGGUAGACAAAGGAAAGGAAGUGGAAUGAUGCAACAAAUGAGUCAAUGGAGGGAACAUGGAUGAUGAUGCACGGCAUAGGAAUCCAAAGGGAGUGCAAUGGUGGUGCACGACAAUGAUGGAAAGGUGAAUGGUGGAGUGACACCCCUUUGUGGCUGAGAUCUUUGUCCUUUUUACAUUAAUUCUUUCUCUUUAGCACAUUCCUAGCCUCUUUAGUCUUCAAUUUCGUCCAUCCACCUUGCUCCAUGCAUGUGCUAUUCUUUCCAAGCCCAAAACUGCUCCAAAAUGCACCAAAAUGCAUCUUAUUGCUUUAUAAGGCCUAUGGACCUACAAACACACGAAAAUAGCUUAAAAUACAUAAUUAACUAAGAAAUAAGAACAUAAAUGCAUGAGAACAAGCUAACUCAGUCGCAUAAAUAUGCUCCUAUCAGAACCCCUCCAGAAAUCUGUACGGCUGAAUUCAUAGCUCAUUAGUCAAUCUAGCUGGAGUCACUACAAAUGACCUAUACGGCACUACAUUGCACACAAGUCGAAACCACUAAAAAGUCUGUACGACAAGACUGUGUGUAAUAUAAU